rnacentral:rRNA from 1 species
GACGAGCGCUGGCGGCGUGCCUAAUACAUGCAAGUUGAGCGCUGAAGGUUGGUACUUGUACCAACUGGAUGAGCAGCGAACGGGUGAGUAACGCGUGGGGAAUCUGCCUUUGAGCGGGGGACAACAUUUGGAAACGAAUGCUAAUACCGCAUAAAAACUUUAAACACAAGUUUUAAGUUUGAAAGAUGCAAUUGCAUCACUCAAAGAUGAUCCCGCGUUGUAUUAGCUAGUUGGUGAGGUAAAGGCUCACCAAGGCGAUGAUACAUAGCCGACCUGAGAGGGUGAUCGGCCACAUUGGGACUGAGACACGGCCCAAACUCCUACGGGAGGCAGCAGUAGGGAAUCUUCGGCAAUGGACGAAAGUCUGACCGAGCAACGCCGCGUGAGUGAAGAAGGUUUUCGGAUCGUAAAACUCUGUUGGUAGAGAAGAACGUUGGUGAGAGUGGAAAGCUCAUCAAGUGACGGGAACUACCCAGAAAGGGACGGCUAACUACGU